rnacentral:rRNA from 1 species
GAUGAACGCUAGCGGCAGGCCUAACACAUGCAAGUCGAGGGGCAGCACAGAAACAGCAAUGUUUUGGUGGCGACCGGCGGACGGGUGCGUAACGCGUAUGCAACCUACCUUUAACAGGGGGAUAACGGAGAGAAAUUUCCACUAAUACCCCAUAACAUCGAUCAAGGCAUCUUGAUUGGUUGAAAACUCCGGUGGUUAAAGAUGGGCAUGCGUUGUAUUAGGUAGUUGGUGAGGUAAUGGCUCACCAAGCCUACGAUACAUAGGGGGACUGGGAGGUUCGCCCCCCACACUGGUACUGAGACACGGACCAGACUCCUACGGGAGGCAGCAGUGAGGAAUAUUGGUCAAUGGGGGCAACCCUGAACCAGCCAUGCCGCGUGCAGGAAGACGGCUCUAUGAGUCGUAAACUGCUUUUAAACAGGGAUAAAGCACAGUAUGUAUACUGUGUUGAAGGUACUGUAAGAAUAAGGAUCGGCUAACUCCGUGCCAGCCGCCGCGGUAA